CCAUACUCUGUGUUACAGAACGUUGGUUAUGCCAAAGCAGUUUCUUGGCCAGGGACUUGCAGUUUCUUGCAGAAACCCAAUACACCCAAGACUCUUGUACAUCAUGUUGGGUGGUUUACCAUCCCUCUCCCAGCAGUAGUUAGGGCAGGAAUUUGGAAUUUGGGAUUUGGAAUUUGGACAGCCUGCCAGUGAUACGUCACCUCCUCUUCGUGAAGGACACUGCGAGAUCUUUAACAUGCACCAACUAAUGCCAGCAGAUGGGACGCCCUUUUUAACGUCCAUCCGAGGACCGAGAUUCAAACCCAGCUUUGAGCAAAUGCUGGUGUGGCACAAGGGUUCAUGGGCAUCAAUUCCAGUGAAAAGGCUCGGCUUGGAGUUGUGUCAAUAAGUGCACUGUCCCUUGGAUGUAUGCGAAGCCGGCUGUGUUGUCUGCAAGCAUUAGCUCAUGGACAGAAGUAUCCCACGUUGUCCUUCACGCAAAAUGUAGUUCGGAUUCCACCAAUUUCUUCCCAGUUUGAAUGUGCUCUUCCAAAAUCGUGCACCGAGGCACGACCUGCAUACGAUCAUGGAUUGCGUCCGAUGGACAAGUCCAGCCACUGCCAGAGGCGCGGUGCGCGAACUGACUGCUUCUUGCUCACUUGCAUGUGUGCACCUCGCCGGUCGCCACCCACCCUGAUUCCGCCAGCCCGUGCCCCGCAUUACAACAGGACACGCCAGCCUCUGCCUGCACUCCCAACUACGCGGGCAGGACGUCGCAGCUAUUGCCAAAAGAGCUGUCGGAAACCCCUAUGCGUCUCCGCUGGGACCACGUGCGAGAGUCACCCGAUGCGUUUCACUCCGGUGGAGUUGAACGUCAGUGCGUCACAAUGAGCAUGUGAAAGAGCGUUGGUGCUGCCGAACAGCGGGAUAGAGUGCCAGUCUCCUUGGCUAUUGGGUACAAUCCUGGACGGGUCACCACUCCAACACAAGAUAUCAGCAAGCUGUUACUCAUUUUAUCGACCUCAAAAGGAUGACAGGCAGAGUCAACCCCACCUGGUAUUAAUUCAACAGCCGAGCACGAUUUCAACUCGGCAUCCUUGAAUCCCGAGCCCAACACCAGGCAUACACAGUAUAUAUGUGCAUCCAAAACGUUUCUAAUAAGUAAUAAAUAAAUAAAUAAAUAAUGUGUGUGUGUAUAUUGUUACAAAAAUGACUAGGGUAUUAAUUAUUCAGUAGAUAUAGCCUGAUGUAUCUGAUAAUUCUAAUUUGGUAGUUUUCUUUUAAUCCAGAUUCAAACCCAAGCUCGAAGGCGAGUGCACAUACCGCGAAACUUUCAAACUAUUUACAUAAACAUAUAUGUAUACAUACCUUUUUGGCUUGCUUUAGACUGUCAUGAGUGCCCUGCUUGCAGAACUUUUGAAUGCCCCACAUACCUACCUUACUUGUGUUUAAGUGAGCGACCUUUCCUUCAUUGGUAUGUAACACAAAGCUGUGGGGUAGCAUCAAUGGCAGAGGGCGCAGAUGUGCUGCUAAUGUCAUGCCUUCUGUAUAUUAUGGCAGGAAUUUCGAAUUUGUUCAGGGCACCAACGAUAGCCGAUGCGACCGACGGUCACUGUGGGAUCUUUCACAUCCACCAACUAAUGCCAGCAGAUGGGACACCCAGUUUGGCGACCAUCCAAGGGACGGCAAACACAUUGAUGAAUCACCCUCCCUAUGAGACAUUGGGAGGACAGUUUAGAGCUGGGUUGGGAUUCGAACCCAGGCUAGGCAGCUUAGAAGCGAAUGUUUAUACCUGUCGGCAAUCCUGCAAUUCCAGUGAGCUGCUAGUUUCCUUCUCUGGAAGUACAAACAAUGUAUACGUUCUACUUUAGUCAUUGAAGAUGUAUAUAAUUGGGCAAUCCGUUUGUGCUAUACUAUGAUAGAUAGUUGUUCUGUAUAUAUUUGGUGAGACGAGGAUCACAAGAUGAAUUUAACUGCAGGCAUGUCCAGUUCGCAGGACGAUGUCACAGGUCGUUCUGGUUGACAUGGCACUUACAGUUUACGCUGUCUGUGACAAGACCAUCGCAUGGGCCUUACGCAUUCGCAGAAGGCAAGGGAUUGGGCAAGGAAGUUUGUGUAAAUAAAGUUUGUGUUUAUCCUUAUGUGCCACCAAAGAUUUAAAGACCUCUGUCCAGCAUGUAUAGGUGAAGAGGGUAUAAUAAUUAUUUAUGUUUUCCUUGUAUACCUGGUGAUGGCAAAAGGGUGGGCUCAUAACCGCAGUCUCUUUAAGCCCUUCAUGCAGACAAACUCAUUAUUGCACUUGAACCCGAAUAUACAAUGCAUCUCAAUGAAAUCGAUCCCAGAGAGCUUUAUAGUACAAUAAAAUUGUUUAAUGAGAGGAAGACAAUUGUAUGAAAACAAUGAAGGGAAAAUGAGAAACAUGUAAAAAAGUAAAAAAAAUGCAUUUUGUCUGGAAGUUUUACAAGAUGAUCCUUUACAGGUGGAAAGCUCUUAAAAUUGGACAAUUAUGUCGAACUCGGGAGAAUCAUCCACAGCAAAUGACCUGAGCCACAGUAUUUGCGAAGAAUACGAGAAGGAAACGCAGAGGAAGACGUUUAUUCGUCACAGUGUGACAACGGCAGCGAAUAUCGAUCCGCGCCGACUUCCAAUUGCGGCG
ensembl:lincRNA